ACCCAGCUAACGAGUCUCAAAUAGGACCAAACGCGCGUCCUGAAU
rfam:Schistosoma rodhaini strain Burundi genome assembly, scaffold: SROB_scaffold0007024